rnacentral:rRNA from 1 species
CUCGUAAGAGGAUGUAUAGGGUGUGACGCCUGCCCGGUGCUCGAAGGUUAAUUGAUGGGGUUAGCAUUAGCGAAGCUCUUGAUCGAAGCCCGAGUAAACGGCGGCCGUAACUAUAACGGUCCUAAGGUAGCGAAAUUCCUUGUCGGUUAAAUACCGACCUGCAUGAAUGGCGUAACGAGAUGGGAGCUGUCUCAAAGAGGGAUCCAGUGAAAUUGUAGUGGAGGUGAAAAUUCCUCCUACCCGCGGCAAGACGGAAAGACCCCGUGGACCUUUACUACAGCUUGACACUGCUACUUGGAUAAGAAUGUGCAGGAUAGGUGGGAGGCUUUGAGUAUAUGACGCCAGUUGUAUAUGAGCCAUUGUUGAGAUACCACUCUUUCUUAUUUGGGUAGCUAACCAGCUUGAGUUAUCCUCAAGUGGGACAAUGUCUGGUGGGUAGUUUGACUGGGGCGGUCGCCUCCCAAAUAAUAACGGAGGCUUACAAAGGUUGGCUCAGAACGGUUGGAAAUCGUUCGUAGAGUAUAAAGGUAUAAGCCAGCUUAACUGCAAGACAUACAAGUCAAGCAGAGACGAAAGUCGGUCUUAGUGAUCCGGUGGUUCUGUGUGGAAGGGCCAUCGCUCAAAGGAUAAAAGGUACCCCGGGGAUAACAGGCUGAUCUCCCCCAAGAGCUCACAUCGACGGGGAGGUUUGGCACCUCGAUGUCGGCUCAUCGCAUCCUGGGGCUGGAGCAGGUCCCAAGGGUAUGGCUGUUCGCCAUUUAAAGCGGUACGCGAGCUGGGUUCAGAACGUCGUGAGACAGUUCGGUCCCUAUCUGCCGUGGGCGUAAGAAGAUUGAAGAGAUUUGACCCUAGUACGAGAGGACCGGGUUGAACAAACCACUGGUGUAGCUGUUGUUCUGCCAAGAGCAUCGCAGCGUAGCUAAGUUUGGAAAGGAUAAACGCUGAAAGCAUCUAAGCGUGAAGCCAACUCUAAGAUGAAUCUUCUCUAAGCUCUCUAGAAGACUACUAGUUUGAUAGGCUGGGUGUGUAAUGGAUGAAAGUCCUUUAGCUGACCAGUACUAAUAGAGCGUUUGGCUUAUCUUUAAUAAAGCAU